GACGAACGCUGGCGGCGUGCUUAACACAUGCAAGUCGAACGGAAAGGCCCUGCUUUUGUGUGGUGCCCGAGUGGCGAACGGGUGAGUUACACGUGAGUAACCUGCCCUUGACUUGGGGAUAACUUCAGGCAACUGCGGCUACUACCGGCUAGGAGCUCCUGCUGCAUGGUGGGGGUUGGAAAGUUUCGGCGGUUGGGGAUGGACUGGGGGCUUAUCAGCUUGUUGGUUGGGUACUGGCUUACCAAGGCUUUGACGGGUAGCCGGCCUGGGAGGGGGACCGGCCACAUUGGGACUGAGGUACGGCCCAGACGCCAACGGGAGGCAGCAGUGGGGAAUAUUACACAAUGGGCGGGAGCCUGAUGCAGAGACGCCGCGUGCGGAAUGACGGCCUACGGGUUGUAAACCGCUGUCGCCUGUGACCAAGCGGGAGUGACGGUAAUGGGUAAAGAAGCACCGGCUAACUACGUG
rnacentral:rRNA from 1 species